CAUUUCCAAACCACACAAAACAUUAAUAAAACUGAGUACAGGACACGGCGAGAGACUGGCCCGGGCGCCGUCCCUUCCCUCACGGGCCUCUCCAGCUGGGCGAGGCGUACCGAGGCAGUUCGGAGCACGUGUGUCUGUGGGGCGGGGCAGGCCGUGAACCUGAGUGAUCUUUACAAGCAUCUUUAUCGUCACAUGACUACAGUACAUAGGAAAGUGUUCUAGUGAUGAUGUGACUUUGUGGACACGAGGAACGGCUCACAGACUCUCCUGGACCACGAAAAGGCAAGGAUGUGUGAAGGAGGCUUUGGAGCAGUGAAGGUUCCGCCGUGAUCAGAUGUCUCCCGGCGCCCAGAAUUUCCUCUCUACGUAGACGGACUCGAACUGAGAUAUGAAAAAAUAGUGACGAGGCUGGAUGGCCGUCACGUGGAGGGUGUUCGAAAGGCAGGCCGGGCCGCGGCUCCUCCGGCCCGGCCACAGGUGUGACGAGGCUCACUGAAAUACGUCAAUACCCCGGAUAAUGCUGAUGACGCCA